rnacentral:rRNA from 1 species
UACGGAGGGUGCAAGCGUUGUCCGGAUUUAUUGGGUUUAAAGGGUGCGUAGGCGGUCUUUUAAGUCAGUGGUGAAAUCCUCCAGCUUAACUGGAGAACUGCCAUUGAUACUGGGAGACUUGAGUACAGACGAGGUAGGCGGAAUUGACAGUGUAGCGGUGAAAUGCAUAGAUAUUGUCAAGAACACCGAUUGCGAAGGCAGCUUACUAGACUGUAACUGACGCUGAGGCACGAAAGCAUGGGGAGCGAACAGG